UUUGGGUUCUUUUUCUAUUCACUCAUGUCAGAUAGAGACAUACAUGUUGUAAAUUAUUUUGUCAGAAUGAAAGCCUGGCAGAUUAAAUGCUUUCUUCUCUUCUUGCUUUACUUGAUAUCAAUCUCUUGUUCAUUUCUUGAUAAUAUGUUUGGUUAUUUUUGUUUUCAUUGCUUUUAGUGUCAGAGAUGGCUUUGGAUUCCCCGUUCUGUGUGCUGCUGUCUGGCUCCUGAACCCAGCUGUAGAGGUGUGUCAAUCCCAACUGGUGAAGUACUGAGAGGAAGCUACACAAAAGGCAGCAAAGUAUUAGUGAGUGGUGUCAUUGAGCAAACACGAAGUCGGGCUCAUCCAAGGAUGAGAUUUUGCCAGAGAAAGGACGAGCAGCAAGUCAGGGAGCUUAAG
rnacentral:lncRNA from 1 species